rnacentral:rRNA from 1 species
GACGUAGGGUGCGAGCGUUGUCCGGAAUUAUUGGGCGUAAAGGGCUCGUAGGCGGUUUGUCGCGUCGAAAGUGAAAUUCCGAGGCUUAACUUCGGGACUGCUUUCGAUACGGGCAGACUAGAGGUAGGCAGGGGAGAGUGGAACCCCAGGUGUAGCGGUGGAAUGCGCAGAUAUCUGGGAGAACACCGGUGGCGAAGGCGGCUCUCUGGGCCUUACCUGACGCUGAGGAGCGAAAGCGUGGGGAGCGAACAGG